ACAACGUCACGUAUUGUAAUGGACUACAAAUCCCACGUGGCCCCGUAUUUAGUAUCUAGGAAGUGGAUUCCGUUGCUAUGCAAACUUUCCCCACUUGCUGUCCGGUGAGUCGAAAGACAAACGCUACACUGAAUAUCACAUUAUUUGGCGUCAAAGGGGUUUUGCACUAAAGUUAGCAGAUGUCGCGUGAAUCGUCGCUGAAGAAGAGACCGGGCACAGCUCUCUCCAUCGUGUCUGAGUUCAGGGGGUCUGCUUCAUUAACCCCCAAACCUGCUGCUGAAGAGCUGCUGCUCGAUCAGAGUCUCUCGCCGGAGAAACUGAGGUUUUCUCUUUCUUCUUCAGAAAAUCCUCUCUGGAUCAGACGAGUUACAGGAGGUGACGUCACUGGAGAUGUGUGUCGACACCCGAGAGGAGACUCUGGACAACUUCGGUCAAUAACUCUUCAUUCACCGAUGCGUUUAUUAACAAACCUUGACCUUCACAUUGUGAGGAACAGUCACGUGAUGUGAAGUGACUGGGUUGUGUUUGGAUUAUGACUAUCUGAG
ensembl:lncRNA